AUAAAUAGCGCUUAGUUUUCCCAAAUUCUUCAUCAAUUGUUUUUCAGAUUCACAAAUAGGGAAAAAUUGAUAUCUAAAAAAUUUUGAUUUCUAAACUUUGAAUCAAUGAUGAAUGUUGUUUUUCUGCAGUUUUCAGGUAUAUUUUUUUAAUGGGCGUGGAAGAAAUUGGGUGAAUUUACUAAUUUUCUCUCGAAUUCUCCGCAGUUUGUUGGUAGUUUUGAUCUACUUGCACUUAAAUUUGAUAUAGAAACUCAAAACUCGAAAUCUCCGCAGGAUUUUGUUUUCAUGUAUUUUUUUUCAGUGUGAAAUGGGGUAGAAGAAAUUGGAUUAAGUUAAUAAGUUUUCGCUCGAAAUCUCCGCAGGUUCCGUUUCAUGAAGAAGGUGAAAUGGGGUAGAAGAAGUUGAUUUAGUUUCUUACAUUCCCUGCGGCAUUUUGGUGAGAUGGCGUAGAAGAAAUUGGAUUAAUUUCCUAUUGUUCUCUAGAACUCUUUGCAACAUUCGGUGAGUUUGAACUUCUUCUACUUUGUCAAAAAAAAAAAAAUUUGAAUCAGAAAAUAAUCACGUCUUGUAAUUCCAAGUGAAAGUCUAUGUCUAAACUUUGAAUCCACGAUGAGUUAUGUUUUUUCUGCAGUAUUCUCUAAUUCCUUUUAAAGAAUCGAUUCACUAAAAAUAGUUCCUUUAUUUUUAAAUUUCUCAACUGAUUGGGCUCAAUUUUAGUCCAUCUUAUGGCGUACUUGUUUUAUUGAGGUGUUAAUAGGUGGAGGGGAAGGAGAAUGGGAAAUUAUAAGGUAUGGAAUGGAAUGUCACCAACAUCAUCUGGUAUUGUUGUUGUUUAUAUUUCUUUUUUUGCAGGCUUUCUAUUGCUUAACUUAUUGGUUGUUAUGUUUACUUCCUAUUUUCUUCUUUUGUAUACUUAAAUUUGUUGUAUUUGCGUUGCAAGUCUUUCAGAAAACAUUCUUUCUAUCUCCACGAGGUAGUAGUAAAGCAUGCAGUCACUUUACCCUACGCUGACUCCAUCAAUAGGAUGUUUUAUGUGCAAGUCACCACUAUAAUGUCAUUUCAUUUAUGAAUUCCUCUUUUAGUAUUGAAAAUGGAAGUCUAUAUUUCUUUCUAAAAGAGAAGAAAACCUAAGGAAGUACCACAUUGUCCACUUUUGGCAAUCUUUGCAUGAGACCAAACAAAGAUAAUUGAUUGCUUUUGACAAGUAAGAGAAAUCAAAUUCCUUCAUUUUUUUUUUCCUUCUUAACUAAAAAUACAGCACCUAAAACAUGCUAAACAACUCAAAGGAGUUCUAUUCCAAUUUCCAAAUCAAUUCCAUUUGCCCAAAAAAUAUUAUAUUACUAUACCGAAAAGAAGAAAAUUAUCCUAGCACCUUUAAGAAAAGGUUGCAUAUGAGGCAAAAGUGGUCCUGGAAAUGCUAGUUGCACGUACAAAGGUGUUUCCUUUGUUGGUGCAACUGGCAUUCUCAGGGCCAGCUUCGCCUCACAUGUAACCCCUUUCUUUUCUGAAACUUGCGGAGUUGAUUUUCUUCUUCCUAAUAUAGUAGUGUAACAUUGUUGAGGAAACGGGAUUGAUUUGGAAGAGAACUGAGUUCAAGUUGUUCAACAUGUUUUAGGGGCGCAGUAUUUGUAGUUAAGAGGAAAAAAUGGAGGAAUUUGAUUUUUCCUGCAUACAUGUGAACUUAGAAUAUUUACUUAUACUUGAGUUACGGACUUGUAGUUUGCUGGUGUGUAUUUUUGAGCAAAGCAGGCCAUUAUUAAAAUUAAGUUACCAGGAUAAUAUGUUUUUUUGUAAUUUUACUAAACUAUUAUAAACGUAGUUCUCAGUAAAGUUUUAGGUAAUAUUUUAUUCAAGAAAAUUCAACAACAAAAAGACAAAAAUCUAACAGAGUAAACAAACAUAAAACGUUAUUGUCAAUAACGUUUCAUAAUUCGUUACUCUGAGUAUGUUACACCUCUAUACAUGGAAGAAGUAAAUCAACCAAGCAAGUUUCAGGAAAAGGUUGCAUGGCAGAAAAAGGCGGCCCUGGAAAUGUUAGUUGCACGUACAAGGAUGUUCUACAACGUACGUAGGGUAAGUGGAUGGCUGAAAUUCGUUAGCCUAGCCGUGGCCCUGGAAAUACUUCUCUGCAGGACAAGCUUCAUUUCCAUUACCGGAUAUCAACAGAAAGGUUGAAAAAGACAACAAUGUAGAGGAUUUGGUGGAGUGUGGAAAGAUUUGAAUGCAAACUUAUCGAAGAUUGAUCAUCAUGGAUUUAAGCCAUCCAUUUACCCCAAGUUCGUUGUCAAACGCCUUUGUAAGUGCGCGCAACUAGCAUUCUCAGGUCGGACCUUUGUCUUGCCUGCAACUUUUCCUGAAACUCUGCUUGGUUUUUCUUCCAAAAUGAGACCGAUUUGCAAGAGAAUUUAGUUACUGCUGUUAACUUUUGAUUCCCGGUUUACUACAUCAGCUGCAUAGUCAAUUAGUCAUUGUUUGAAUUUUCUGAUUUAUUUUUUCUUUGCAUGUAUUAUUAUAUGUAUACAUCUUUUAUUUAGGAAGUUGGGGUUUCAAGAAUGGAGAUGGAACUUAUGGAACUGGAAUAUAAUACCGCCAACUCCUAUCUCGAAGAUACAACACCAACUCAGCAAUAUGUAGGCAUGAAAAAUGAACGGAUGGAUUCGGGUAGAAGAUGUAUUGGAGCCAAAUAUGAAGAGAAAAUGCAGCAAAGGACCGAAAUUCAGUCAACCAAAGUCACAUAUGACUGUUAUCUUUUUGUAACCACUUGCGUUCAGAUUCAUUGUAACUAUUGUAUGCAUUUGAGAUUUCGAAAUUUGAAUAUUUUUUAUCAACUGAGAAUGUCAACUGAAGUUUAAUAUAGUGGGUGGAUAGCUUGAUAAGUGUUAAACAUGUGUCAUUACACUAUGCAAUGUAAAAUACAAGGCUACCAUAUGGUCUAUCAAUAGACAGCCUUGGUGUUGGA